CUUGCUCUCCGCUAAAAAAAUAUAUUUACAUUACCAAGGUGAAAAUUCUGUAUGUAAAGUAGCUCCACUGUCUGCAUUAGAAGGUGCAAACAAUGUGUUAAUUCCUUCUUGUAUGUUCCCUUGCAGGAGGCAGAGUAACAUUUACUGAGGAGGAUUCAGAAUAAGUCGGAGAGCUAAUUAGCAGCUCAUACAAUUAGCGACAUGUCAUGCUGCCAGGGGCUAAUUAACUGGUUUGGAAAAUUACCACAAGACGUGUGGGAGAAAAUAAGAUUUAUCUCUUAUCAGUGUAUGGCUGUUAUACUGCGAUUGUUCACUAUUAGGAUAUAUUGUAUAUAUAUUUUAGGCUACAUUAU